rnacentral:lncRNA from 1 species
CGGGGCCGUUACAAAAACUAUUAAUAUCCAUUAACAGAAAAUUUAUAGGAACAAACAUUAAGAAAAAACUACUACAACUAUAUAUAGCAGAUUUGUAGGAAUUAACUUUGACUCAUUCAAUUUUGGUGACUGAUUUUUAAUCAUUUUCAACACAGUGCAAUUGAGCCUAGAGGUAUGGGUUUGGAAGCAGCAUCGAUUCUUUAGCUCGGG